rnacentral:tRNA from 1 species
UCCCUGAUAGCUCAGUUGGUAAGGAAUCUGCCUAUAGUGCAGGAGACCCUGGUUCGAUUCCUGGGUGGGGAA